GUGGGGAAUAUUGGACAAUGGGCGCAAGCCUGAUCCAGCCAUGCCGCGUGAGUGAUGAAGGCCUUAGGGUUGUAAAGCUCUUUCAGUGGGGACGAUAAUGACGGUACCCACAGAAGAAGCCCCGGCUAACUUCGUGCCAGCAGCCGCGGUAAUACGAAGGGGGCUAGCGUUGUUCGGAUUUACUGGGCGUAAAGCGCACGUAGGCGGAUCGUUAAGUCGGGGGUGAAAUCCUGGAGCUCAACUCCAGAACUGCCUUCGAUACUGGCGAUCUUGAGUCCGGAAGAGGUGAGUGGAACUCCUAGUGUAGAGGUGGAAUUCGUAGAUAUUAGGAAGAACACCAGUGGCGAAGGCGGCUCACUGGUCCGGUACUGACGCUGAGGUGCGAAAGCGUGGGGAGCAAACAGGAUUAGAUACCCCGGUAGUCC
rnacentral:rRNA from 1 species